GAGAAUGUUUAGAUCUCUUUGGGGUAGAUCGCUUCCUCUCUAUCUUACAACCAUAUAACCUAAUACUCUUCUUAAUAAACGAAACCCAUUAACACAUAUGGGCCCUAAUUACUUAUAUGGCCCAAUGGCCUUUUCUUCUUUCUUCUUCUUCCUCCUCCUUCUACGACAAAACACUUGUUCUUCUCUUCACCUUAUGCUUCUUACGAUUCUUCUCCUUUCAUCAUCAUCUUCAUCUUCUCACACUUCUCUUUGUCUUUUCUCUUAUGUAGGAUUAAGUUAUGAUCAACAUCCAACACUCCCUCUUGAUUCAUUUGCUUUAUCCCCAAAUUUUGAUUUAGGGAUUUGAUUCCCUUGCUCUUUGUUCUUCUUCUGGUGAUUCGCCUCCUCACUAUGCAAAUCCCUUUCACGAAAUUGGCACAACUCACUGAUGAGUUUGUGCACAAUCUCUGUAUCCCAUCUCCCUUUUGCUCUUCUUCAUCUCCUCUUGAAUCAAUUUUCCUUAAUCGAUUCUCAGCCUCUUUUCUUUUCUUUGCCGAUCACCUGUCUGCAAUAUUUUGUCUGCAAUGUGCUUGCAAGAAAUAAGAAAGACGUUUGAUAUUUAUAGUGAAGUAGAAUGUUAGGGUUUUUGGCUUUAAAAGUUUCGAAAAUCUUGGAGAGGAAUCACAAAAUAUUGGAAACAUUAAGGGGGGGGUAUUGAUCUAAGGAAUGUGAGAGAAUUUAAUAGAAAGUUGAAUUCUAGUGUUAUUCAAUUAGAGAUUUUGUAAAUUCUUUUAAAUUCAUGUGUUAUUGAAGAUGUUAAUUUUUAAGUUCUA